GACUAUUGGACACUGGGGGGAACCCUGAUCCAGCCAUGCCGCGUGUGUGAAGAAGGCCUUUUGGUUGUAAAGCACUUUCCGCGCGUUGAAGGCUACUUAGAUUAAUACUCUCGUAUCGUGGACGUUACUCGCAGACUAAGCCCCGGCCAACUCUGUGCCAGCCGCCGCGGUAAUACAGAGGGUGCAAGCGUUAAUCGGAUUGACUGGGCGUAAAGCGCGCGUAGGUGGCCAAUUAAGUCAAAUGUGAAAUCCCCGAGCUUAACUUGGGAAUGGCAUUCGAUACUGGUUGGCUAGAGGAGGGGAGAGGAUGGUAGAAUUCCAGGUGUAGCGGUGAAAUGCGUAGAGAUCUGGAGGAAUACCGAUGGCGAAGGCAGCCAUCUGGCCUAAUACUGACACUGAGGUGCGAAAGCAUGGGGAGCAAACA
rnacentral:rRNA from 1 species